UACGUAGGUGGCAAGCGUUGUCCGGAUUUACUGGGCGUAAAGAGCGCGCAGGCGGUCGUUCAAGUCGCGUGUGAAAGCCCCCGGCUCAACUGGGGAGGGUCACGCGAUACUGAUCGACUCGAAGGCAGGAGAGGGUAGUGGAAUUCCCGGUGUAGUGGUGAAAUGCGUAGAUAUCUGGAGGAACACCGGUGGCGAAGGCGGCAUCCUGGACCAACACUGACGCUGAGUGAGCGAAAGCCAGGGGAGCAAACGGG
rnacentral:rRNA from 1 species